GAUGAACGCUGGCGGCGUGCCUAAUACAUGCAAGUCGAACGCUUCACUUCGGUGAGGAGUGGCGAACGGGUGAGUAAUACAUAAGUAACCUGGCAUCUACAGGGGGAUAACUGAUGGAAACGUCAGCUAAGACCGCAUAGGUGUAGAGAUCGCAUGAACUCUAUAUGAAAAGUGCUACGGGACUGGUAGAUGAUGGACUUAUGGCGCAUUAGCUGGUUGGUAGGGUAACGGCCUACCAAGGCGACGAUGCGUAGCCGACCUGAGAGGGUGACCGGCCACACUGGGACUGAGACACGGCCCAGACUCCUACGGGAGGCAGCAGUAGGGAAUCUUCGGCAAUGGGGGAAACCCUGACCGAGCAACGCCGCGUGAAGGAAGAAGUAAUUCGUUAUGUAAACUUCUGUCAUAGAGGAAGAACGGUGGAUAUAGGGAAUGAUAUCCAAGUGACGGUACUCUAUAAGAAAGCCACGGCUAACUACGUGCCAGCCGCCGCAGUAA
rnacentral:rRNA from 1 species